CCUGACGCCGCCACCAGCCAGCCCCGCCCCCGGGCAGUGGGGCCAGCGACGCGACCCGACCCGGCCCGACUCACGGCACUUACUCGGCCGCGAUGUUGACUGACCAGCUGAUUUCCUCCCCUACUUUGAUUGUUUUUCCUCUCAAGACUUCAGCAGCUGCAGUUUCUUGCACCUCUUUAGUGUUAGUCUAUUUUUCAUUGAAAAUUAGACUAUGGCCAUCUAUUUGUACCUGUCAGUAUUUUAUAAAACACUAUAAAAGGUCACCCCUCAAUCUACCUCACUCUAGGGAUAACAAUCCCAACAAAUUCAAUCUCUUCUUAUGACUCAAGCCCUCCAGCCCAAUCACAUACUUCCUAGUGUGGUAACCGGACUGUGCACAAUAUUCCAGGUUUACUCAGAGUCAGUUUUUGUACAACUGUAACGUGAUGUCCCAACUCUUGUACUCCAUGCCGGUCGAUGAAGGUAUGUGCAAGAAAGGACUUAUCUUUACAUUACGCUGUCCGUUCCGUGAGCUAUUUCAAAAACAAGGUGCUGCAGAAACUCAGUGGUCCAGCAGCAUCGAGGAGGAAACUGGAGAGAGGAUGUUUCUUUUGGGUUGGGCCUUGGAUAAUGGAGAAUGUAGUAGACAGGACUGUAGAGUGAUGGACUACUUACAUCCACUGAAAUAGCCACAAUAUAAUCAGAAAAUCACUUUUAACGGGGUUGUUGAGGGAAACAUAAAAGCUAGAUAAAAAUGACAAAUUAACAGAUGGGAUUUUGAAAUAAAAACAGAAACUGUUGUGUUGUA